rnacentral:rRNA from 1 species
CCCUUAGAUGUCCUGGGCCGCACGCGCGCUACACUGAUGCAUUCAACGAGUUUUACCUUGGCCGAGAGGCCUGGGCAAUCUUUUAAACCUGCAUCGUGAUAGGGAUAGAUUAUUGCAAUUAUUAAUCUUGAACGAGGAAUUCCUAGUAAACGCAAAUCAUCAAUUUGCAUUGAUUACGUCCCUGCCCUUUGUACACACCGCCCGUCGCACCUACCGAUUGAAUGGUCCGGUGAAGCCUCGGGAUUGUGGCCAGUUCACUUUAUUGGGAGUUGGCUGUGAGAACUUGUCUAAACCUUAUCAUUUAGAGGAGGGUGAAGUCGUAACA